rnacentral:snoRNA from 1 species
CAGCAUCCUCUGAUAGACCAUGAGCACUUCCCCUGUUGCUCUCUGGUUUGCACUAAGAUGCAAAACUAAAUUCCUUGCGCUUUCUGCCUGCCUGGCUGUGGCAGCUCAGAUUGAAUGAGGGAAUACACAA